CCUACGGGAGGCAGCAGUAGGGAAUUUUCCACAAUGGGCGCAAGCCUGAUGGAGCAACACCGCGUGAGUGAAGAAGGGUUUCGGCUCGUAAAGCUCUGUUGUUGGAGAAGAACGUGCGUGAGAGUAACUGUUCACGCAGUGACGGUAUCCAACCAGAAAGUCACGGCUAACUACGUGCCAGCAGCCGCGGUAAUACGUAGGUGGCAAGCGUUAUCCGGAUUUAUUGGGCGUAAAGCGAGCGCAGGCGGUUGCUUAGGUCUGAUGUGAAAGCCUUCGGCUUAACCGAAGAAGUGCAUCGGAAACCGGGCAACUUGAGUGCAGAAGAGGACAGUGGAACUCCAUGUGUAGCGGUGGAAUGCGUAGAUAUAUGGAAGAACACCAGUGGCGAAGGCGGCUGUCUGGUCUGCAACUGACGCUGAGGCUCGAAAGCAUGGGUAGCGAACAGGAUUAGAUACCCGAGUAGUC
rnacentral:rRNA from 1 species